rnacentral:rRNA from 1 species
UGGGGAAUUUUGGACAAUGGGGGCAACCCUGAUCCAGCAAUGCCGCGUGUGUGAAGAAGGCCUUCGGGUUGUGAAGCACUUUUGUCCGGAAAGAAAACGUCGUGGUUAAUACCCGUGGCGGCUGACGGUACCGGAAGAAUAAGCACCGGCUAACUACGUGCCAGCAGCCGCGGUAAUACGUAGGGUGCAAGCGUUAAUCGGAAUUACUGGGCGUAAAGCGUGCGCAGGCGGUCCGCUAAGACAGAUGUGAAAUCCCCGGGCUUAACCUGGGAACUGCAUUUGUGACUGGCGGGCUAGAGUAUGGCAGAGGGGGGUAGAAUUCCACGUGUAGCAGUGAAAUGCGUAGAGAUGUGGAGGAAUACCGAUGGCGAAGGCAGCCCCUGGGCCAAUACUGACGCUCAUGCACGAAAGCGUGGGGAGCAAACAGGAUUAGAUACCCUGGUAGUCCACGCCCUAAACGAUGUCAACUAGUUGUCGGUCUUCAUUGACUUGGUAACGUAGCUAACGCGUGAAGUUGACCGCCUGGGGAGUACGGUCGCAAGAUUAAAAACUCAAAUGAAUUGACGGGGUC